AGAGUUUGAUCCUGGCUCAGGAUGAACGCUAGCUACAGGCUUAACACAUGCAAGUCGCGGGGUAACAUCUGGUAGAGCUUGCUCUUCCAGGAUGACGACCGGCGCACGGGUGAGUAACGCGUAUCCAACCUGGCCCAUACCACGGGAUAGCCCGUCGAAAGGCGGAUUAAUACCGUAUGCUGUCAUUAAGAGGCAUUUUUUGAUGACGAAAGGACUGGCGGUAUGGGAUGGGGAUGCGUCUGAUUAGCUUGUUGGCGGGGUAACGGCCCACCAAGGCGACGAUCAGUAGGGGUUCUGAGAGGAAAGUCCCCCACAUUGGAACUGAGACACGGUCCAAACUCCUACGGGAGGCAGCAGUGAGGAAUAUUGGUCAAUGGGCGGAAGCCUGAACCAGCCAAGUAGCGUGCAGGAUGACGGCCCUAUGGGUUGUAAACUGCUUUUAUGUGGGAAUAAAGUCAGGGACGUGUCCCUGUUUGCAUGUACCACAAGAAUAAGGACCGGCUAAUUCCGUGCCAGCAGCCGCGGUAAUACGGAAGGUCCGGGCGUUAUCCGGAUUUAUUGGGUUUAAAGGGAGCGCAGGCCGCCGGGCAAGCGUGUUGUGAAAUGCAGUCGCUCAACGUCUGCACUGCAGCGCGAACUGCCCAGCUUGAGUGCGCGCAACGUUGGCGGAAUUCGCCGUGUAGCGGUGAAAUGCUUAGAUAUGGCGAAGAACUCCGAUUGCGAAGGCAGCUGACGGGUGCGUAACUGACGCUCAUGCUCGAAAGUGCGGGUAUCGAACAGGAUUAGAUACCCUGGUAGUCCGCACGGUAAACGAU
rnacentral:rRNA from 1 species